CCCUAGCCUAGUUCAGCUGGUUUGAACUGGAUGCCUACGGAGCAGAUGGUCGUAGGUUCGAAUCCUGCAUCGGGUA